GUUUGACCUCGGAUCAGGUAGGGUUACCCGCUGAACUUAAGCAUAUCAAUAAGCGGAGGAAAAGAAACCAACAGGGAUUGCCUCAGUAACGGCGAGUGAGCGGCAACAGCUCAAAUUUGAAAUCUGGUCCCCUCUGGGGGCCCGAGUUGUAAUUUGAAGAGGAUGCUUUUGG
rnacentral:rRNA from 1 species